GGUGAGGUAACCUUUUGGAGCCAGCCGCCUAAGGUGGGACAGAUGAUUGGGGUGAAGUCGUAACAAGGUAGCCGUAUCGGAAGGUGCGGCUGGAUCACCUCCUUUCUAAGGAA
rnacentral:rRNA from 1 species